ACAAUGCAGAUAUCGUCUCGCACAGUUUACACAUAUAUUUGCUUUGAUAAAUAAACUUAUUUCGGUGUAUUUAUUUUAUGUAAUAUUUCUCGCAUCGAUCAGUCGAGUGUCAUUAUUAAGUAAAGGUGGUUGAUAUCAUUUAUUAGAAUCGUAAAGUGUGCAAACAAAAUGAAACUAUAUAUUUUAAACGUUCUGAUCGUGUUGUUAGUUUUUAUGAAUGUUGGAUUUAAAGACGUCCAAACUGCAGAAGUAAAAAAGUAUCCCUGCCGUUUUGAAUGCGCAGACUAUUGCCAAAUCCACGGAAAAGUCACUGGGUACUGCUGGCGUGGAAUGUGUCACUGUCGACUGAAAUAUAGUCCUCGUCCUUAAUAUUAUAUUGUUUUAUAUAUUUUAAAUACACUACAUUUUUAUUGUAUAAUUUGUUCAUUACUUAUUAACCUAAACACCACGUGUAAAAACAUAUGUAUUAAUUAUAAAAAUAAAUGAAGGUUUAUUACUA